UGCCUUAGUAACGGCGAGUGAAGCGGCAACAGCUCAAAUUUGAAAGCUGGCCCCCUCGGGGUCCGCGUUGUAAUUUGUAGAGGAUGAUUCGGCGAGGGCUCCCGUCUAAGUCCCCUGGAACGGGGCGUCACAGAGGGUGAGAAUCCCGUAUGUGAUGGGUUGCCUUAGCCAUGUGAAUCUCCUUCGACGAGUCGAGUUGUUUGGGAAUGCAGCUCUAAAUGGGAGGUAAAUUUCUUCUAAAGCUAAAUACCGGCCAGAGACCGAUAGCGCACAAGUAGAGUGAUCGAAAGAUGAAAAGCACUUUGGAAAGAGAGUUAAAAAGUACGUGAAAUUGUUGAAAGGGAAGCGCUUGCAGCCAGACUUGUCCGCAGUUGCUCAGCCGGUCUCCUGACCGGCGUACUCUCCUGCGGCCAGGCCAGCAUCAGUUCGGGCGGUCGGAUAAAGACCUCGGGAAUGUAGCUCCUCUCGGGGAGUGUUAUAGCCCGGGGUGGAAUGCGGCCAGCCUGGACUGAGGAUCUCGCUUCGGCUAGGAUGCUGGCGUAAUGGCUGUAAGCGGCCCGUCUUGAAACACGGACCAAGGAGUCUAACAUCUAUGCGAGUGUUUGGGUGUCAAACCCAUACGCGUAAUGAAAGUGAACGGAGGUGGGAACCCUCACGGGUGCACCAUCGACCGAUCCUGAUGUCUUCGGAUGGAUUUGAGUAAGAGCAUAGCUGUUGGGACCCGAAAGAUGGUGAACUAUGCCUGAAUAGGGUGAAGCCAGAGGAAACUCUGGUGGAGGCUCGCAGCGGUUCUGACGUGCAAAUCGAUCGUCAAAUUUGGGUAUAGGGGCGAAAGACUAAUCGAACCAUCUAG
rnacentral:rRNA from 1 species